rnacentral:rRNA from 1 species
UACGUAGGGUGCGAGCGUUAAUCGGAAUUACUGGGCGUAAAGCGUGCGCAGGCUGUUCUGUAAGUCAGAUGUGAAAUCCCCGAGCUCAACUUGGGAACUGCGUUUGAAACUACAGGACUAGAAUAUGUCAGAGGGGGGUAGAAUUCCACGUGUAGCAGUGAAAUGCGUAGAGAUGUGGAGGAAUACCAAUGGCGAAGGCAGCCCCCUGGGAUAAUAUUGACGCUCAUGCACGAAAGGCGUGGGGAGCAAACGAG